GUAAUUUAUUGAAGGCUACUAGGAAACCCGGGUACAGGUCUUAUCAGAGAUUCGCGGGUAAGGAACUGGUUGUGGUUAGGGAAGGUAUUAGCACCCCUAACGCACCCUACCUGAGGUAAGCUGCUUCGUGUCUUUGAUGUGCUAAAGAAGUUUUAAAAAUUCUGUUCUUUCAUCGAAUUUAGAAAUACGACUUACAUGUAAGUUCAUAAUUCUUUAUCCGUGAGCAAAAUCAAAAUAUUAAAUUCUUCUUUAAUCUUUGCAAUUUUAUCCUAAAUAAAAAAAAACAUCCAUAACAAAAAAAUACAAACUCACACAUACACCUUCACUGUAUUUUUUCUUUUCUCUUUCUUUUCUUUUUUGCUUCCAUGUUUACAAAAUACAAAUUCCAAAAAACUUAAAACUAAACAAAUAUUACAUUAAACAAAAAUUACAUUAAACAAUUCUAAAAUUACAAAACAGCCCCUAAAACAUCCAAAGCAGUGCUGGGACCAGUUCUGUGAAGCCAAAGGACAGCAGGAACAGUGGAGGCGCGUCUCCUCCACGCGCCACCGUCACUGGCGGCGCGUGGGUUCACGCGCCGCCGCAAGAAAAACCCAGCAACAGGGGGGUCUGGAUCGACUUCUUCCCCUCUUCUUUUCCUCGCCGGCGGUGAAGAUCAACGUCACCUGCAACCAAAAGAAAACGCACAAGCAGUCUGUUUUAGUUAUUUUUUUAGAUCUGUUUCCCUCUGCUUUCCAUCCUUGUCUGCUUCACUUUCUUCUUUCUCAGGUCUGUUCUUGGGGCUUCGUCGUCUUCUCCUCUGCUUCAGGUACUUGGGCGGCGGCUGGUGGAGAUCUGGAUCGGUCUGUGAUGGCUGCGGGUCGUCGCUGCUGGAGGUGGCCGGUCUGUGGACACUGCUGAAGGUGCUUGCUGGAGGUGGGGUGGGCCGUUGCUGCUAGAAGAAGGAGAAGCCGAAGGGCAACAGUUGAGGGACAGCCAGCUUUGGCUUGCUUUGGGGCUGAGGAAAAGGGAAAAGCUUCGGUUGUUUUCUUCUUCUAAGGGAGCGGCGGCCUGGGAGCAGAAGGGGAACAACUCUGGUUUCGGCCCGGCGUGUGGCUGAGCUAGGGCUGUUGGCUUAGUUUUCUGGUGAAGGGAGAGAAGACCCGUGGAAGGGUGGGGGGGCGGCUAGGUCUCUGGUUGGCUUCGGUGGAGAAGAAAAUGGGGAUAAUAGGGAAGACUGAAAAUGGCAGGGAAAGGGACGUGUGGCUUCAUUUUUUUUAGGAGAAAGGGCCGCUGCCUUGGUUGAGGGGAAUGCUCUGUGUUCAGGCGGCUUAAAAGGGAUAAAGGGGAGUCUGAAAUGGCACAGCGUUUCAACAAAAAAUGAGAGGGGGUGGGCUGCUGUUUUGGAGUAGAGGCCGGUGUGCAAGGAAGAAAAAUCCCAGCGGGCAGUGGCUGAGAGUUUUGCGCUCGGCAGCUCCCAGCAGAAGACAAUCAAAAUGGAGGGGCUGGUUUGGUUCCUUUUUGUGGCCAGGAGAGGGGGCUGCCCUGGUUUGGUUUUGCAAGAGAAGGGCUGCUGCUUGUGCCCGCUGCUGCUGGUUGAGGGAGAAGAGAAAAAAAGUCCUCUGGAGGGGUCGGCUGGGGAAGAAACCAGAAGAGAAUCAGCUCCCGUUUUUCCCCC